CUACGGGACGCUGCAGUGAGGAAUUUUGCGCAAUGGGGGGAACCCUGACGCAGCAACGCCGCGUGAGUGAUGAAGGCUUUCGGGUCGUAAAGCUCUGUCAAGUGGGAAGAACCUAUGCAGUGUUAAUAUCACUGUAUACUGACGGUACCACUGAAGGAAGCACCGGCUAACUCCGUGCCAGCAGCCGCGGUAAUACGGGGGGUGCAAGCGUUAUUCGGAAUCAUUGGGCGUAAAGGGCACGUAGGCGGCUUGGUAAGUCAGAUGUGAAAGCCCGGGGCUUAACCGCGGAAGUGCAUUUGAGACUGGCAGGCUUGAGUAUGGGAGAGGGAAGUGGAAUUCCUGGUGUAGAGGUGAAAUUCGUAGAUAUCAGGAGGAACACCGGUGGCGAAGGCGACUUCCUGGACCAAUACUGACGCUGAGGUGCGAAGGCGUGGGUAGCAAACAGGAUUAGAUACCCUGGUAGUC
rnacentral:rRNA from 1 species